CUUCCUUCUUCCAGUUGGAGGUGCAGUACGGUGACCUCGGGAUGGUCUUUGAUCCUUCUUAUUAGUUUAAAUGAACAGUUCUUUUAAAAAAUUGUGUCAUUUAAAACUUUAGUUCGUUUGGUUGAACUAAAAAAUCAAAAGUUACGUCGAGGACUCUGCAUCCAGCCGCUUCGCUCGCCUGUUCGUCGCUGCUUCUGGGUUUGGAUCUGCCGGGGCCUGUAUUUCACGGUGGCCCUUUCUUUGCUGCGGAUCGCCGCUUCCGCUCGUCUGCACGGCAGGUUCAGCUGGUUGGAUUUGGUGUUCUGGAUUUGGUCCGCGCGUGGUUGACCGUGUCCUGCUGUGGGGGUCGUCGCCGGUUCUUGCGCGUCCGUACGUCGGCUUUUCAGCUGGGUAUCCGGACAGGUCUUACCAUGGUGGUCUUGACUACAUGUGUCGUUUUUGUGGUGCUUUGUUCUGGUGUUAUGAGAGGGUUGAGAGGGGUUCGGCUGUGUCAGAGGGGAUCCUUGUUUACAACCUGUGCUGCAGAGGGGGACGGAUAGUGUUGCCUCGAUACGUUGAUUGGCCGUCGCCUCUCAGAGAGUUAGCUAAUUUCGACGGCGGUCGUUCCUGCAAGGAGUUCAUGCACUUGAUUCGUCAUUACAAUUCGCUUUUUGCGUUCACUUCCUUAGGUGUUGAAGUUGAUAAGAGCAUAAACAUUGGCAACGGUCCUUAUGUUUUUCGUAUACACGGAGUUGUUUCUCAUCGUAUUGGUUCGUUGGUUCCAUCCACGGGGAAGCCCCUACGUUUUACUCAGAUGUAUGUUUACGACACGGCGAACGAACUAUCCCACCGUCUUAGUGUUUUCGGUUCUUCCGCCGAAACACGUGACGUAGCUGAUCCGGAUAUUGUUAGUUCGUUGCUUCGCAUGUUGGACGACCAUAAUGUGUUGGUUAAGACUUUCA